UCCAGGGUAGCCUAGUGGACAUGCCAUCUGCCCGGUAAGCGGAACACUGUGGGUUCGAUUCCCAUCCCUGGAC